rnacentral:rRNA from 1 species
UCUUAUGCAUGCAAGUCGAACGCAGCAGGCGUGCCUGGCUGCGUGGCGAACGGCUGAGGAACACGUGGGUAACCUGCCCCAGAGUGGGGGAUACCCCGUCGAAAGACGGGACAAUCCCGCAUACGCUCUUUGGAGGAAAGCCAUCCGGCGCUCUGGGAGGGGCCUGCGGCCCAUCAGGUAGUUGGUGUGGUAACGGCGCACCAAGCCAAUGACGGGUACCCGGUCUGAGAGGACGACCGGGCAGACUGGGACUGCGACACGGCCCAGACUCCUACGGGAGGCAGCAGCAAGGAAUAAGC